rnacentral:rRNA from 1 species
UACAGAGGUGGCAAGCGUUGUUCGGAAUUACUGGGCGUAAAGGGCGCGUAGGCGGUUCGUUAAGUCCUGUGUGAAAUCCCCCGGCUCAACUGGGGAACUGCACAGGAAACUAGCGGGCUUGAGUUCGGGAGAGGGAAGCGGAAUUCCGGGUGUAGCGGUGAAAUGCGUAGAUAUCCGGAGGAACACUGGUGGCGAAGGCGGCUUCCUGGACCGACACUGACGCUGAGGCGCGAAAGCUAGG